UACGUAGGGUGCGAGCGUUGUCCGGAAUUAUUGGGCGUAAAGAGCUCGUAGGCGGUGUGUCGCGUCGGCCGUGAAAACCUGGGGCUUAACUCUGGGCGUGCGGUCGAUACGGGCAUCACUGGAGUUCGGCAGGGGAGACUGGAAUUCCUGGUGUAGCGGUGAAAUGCGCAGAUAUCAGGAGGAACACCGGUGGCGAAGGCGGGUCUCUGGGCCGAUGACUGACGUGAGGAGCGAAAGCAUGGGUAGCGAACAGG
rnacentral:rRNA from 1 species